rnacentral:tRNA from 1 species
GGCUGUGUAGCACAGUGGGUAAGGAACUGGGCUUGUAACCGAAAGGUCAUAGGUUCGAUUCCUGCCGUUGUAC